rnacentral:rRNA from 1 species
GACGAACGCUGGCGGCGUGCCUAACACAUGCAAGUCGAACGGAAAGGCCCCCUACUUGGUGGGGGUGCUCGAGUGGCGAACGGGUGAGUAACACGUGGGUGAUCUGCCCUGUACUUCGGGAUAAGCUUGGGAAACUGGGUCUAAUACCGGAUAGGACCAUGGUUUAGUGUCUCAUGGUGGAAAGAUUAUUGUUUUGGUGCAGGAUGAGCUCGCGGCCUAUCAGCUUGUUGGUGGGGUAAUGGCCUACCAAGGCGUCGACGGGUAGCCGGCCUGAGAGGGUGGACGGCCACAUUGGGACUGCGAUACGGCCCCGACUCCUACGGGAGGCAGCAGUGGGGAAGAUUGCACAAUGGGCGCAAGCCUGAUGCAGCGACGCCGCGUGGGGGAUGACGGCCUUCGGGUUGUACACUCCUUUCGUUAGGGACGAAGCCGCACUUUUUUUGGGUGCGGUGACGGUACCUUUGUUAAGAAGCACCGGCUAACUACGUG